CAGUCGAGCACACCUGAUCAUCCGGUUUGGAAGAGGCUUUGGAAUUUAGAGUUACCAGGGAAAGUUAAAAUCUUCAUCUGGCGGUGCCUGCAUAACACCAUCCCCUUCAAGUGCACACUUGCCAACGGACAUAUUCCUACAAGUGGGCAGUGUCCAGUUUGCCAGCAAGGGGCGGAAGACAUCAAACAUGCGCUCUUCACUUGCACCCGUGUGAGGUCGAUUUGGUCUGAGUUGGGCCUAAAAACUAUGAUAGAUGAGGUGAUCCCAAUCGACAGAUCCGGUGCGAGAGUAUUGGAGUCUCUUUUAUGCGAUGACAGGUUUCAACAGAAGUAUAUGGAGGUAAUCGAUAUACCCGAAAUAAUAGCUUCUACCAGCUGGUACCUUUGGUGGCAGCGAUGGGAGUUGGCAAGAGGUGAACAAGUUCAGAACCCAGUGCGCACGGCAAUGGCCAUUCAGGCCUUGACUCUGAAUUUUGUCCGAGCGGCUGGGAAACCGGAUCCAUUGCCUCGUCAGAAUGCUUGGAAGAAGCCACUGUCCGGGAUGCAGGUUCUGAACGUAGAUGCUUCAUUUAUGGAAGAUGAUCAUACGGGAUCCCGCGGAAUGGAUCAUAACGGUGGAUUUAUAGCAGCAGCAGUAACUCAGAUGGCUCAUGUUGCGAAUGCAGUAGCAGCUGAGGCCGAGGCUAUGCACUAG
rnacentral:rRNA from 1 species